CCAACAGGGAUUCCCUCAGUAACGGCGAGUGAAGCGGGAACAGCUCAAAUUUGAAAUCUGGNNNNNNNCGAGUUGUAAUUUGCAGAGGAGUCUUCGGAGGAGGUGAGAGCUAAGUCCUUUGGAACAGGGUGUCAUAAAGGGUGAAAUCCCGUAUGUUGUCUACAACCAUAGUCUAUGUGAAAUUCAUUCUCCAAGACUAGUUGUUUGGGAAUGCGCCUCAAAAUGGGUGGGAAAUUUCCUCUCAAGCUAAAUAUUGGCCAGAGACCGAUAGCGCACAAGUAGAGUGAUCGAAAGAUAAAAAGCACUUUGUAAAGAGAGUUAAAAAGUACGUGAAAUUGUGAAAGGGAAGCGUUUGCCACCCCACCUGUGUGUGGGUGAUCAGCCGUUGUUCUCAGCCGUGCACUCACCCCCAUGGAGGCNNGCUUCGUUUGGGCGGCGGGAGAAUGGCUUUGGGAAUGUGGCUUCCUUCGGGAAGUCUUAUAGCUCGUUGUGCAAUCCGGCAGCCCAGAUCGAAGACCGCGCUUC
rnacentral:rRNA from 1 species